CCUACGGGAGGCAGCAGUGAGGAAUAUUGGUCAAUGGACGAGAGUCUGAACCAGCCAAGUAGCGUGAAGGAUGACUGCCCUAUGGGUUGUAAACUUCUUUUAUAUGGGAAUAAAAUGUUCCACGUGUGGGAUUUUGUAUGUACCAUAUGAAUAAGGAUCGGCUAACUCCGUGCCAGCAGCCGCGGUAAUACGGAGGAUCCGAGCGUUAUCCGGAUUUAUUGGGUUUAAAGGGAGCGUAGGUGGAUUGUUAAGUCAGUUGUGAAAGUUUGCGGCUCAACCGUAAAAUUGCAGUUGAAACUGGCAGUCUAGAGUACAGUAGAGGUGGGCGGAAUUCAUGGUGUAGCGGUGAAAUGCUUAGAUAUCACGAAGAACUCCGAUUGCGAAGGCAGCUCACUGGACUGCAACUGACACUGAGGCUCGAAAGUGUGGGUAUCAAACAGGAUUAGAUACCCCAGUAGUC
rnacentral:rRNA from 1 species